AACCUACUCCCUCCGUUCGGAAUUACUUGUCUCGAAAAUGGAUGUAUCUAGAACUAAAAUACGUCUAGAUACAUCCAUUUCUGCGACAAGUAAUUCCGAACGGAGGGAGUAGCUC
rnacentral:pre_miRNA from 1 species